GGAGAGAUGGCUGAGUGGUCGAAAGCGCUCCCUUGCUAAGGGAGUAAGGGGUUUUCCCCCUUCGUGGGUUCGAAUCCCACUCUCUCCG
rnacentral:tRNA from 1 species